CCUCACAAGAGCAGAGGAGAGGGGAAGAAUCACCUCCCUGGAGAUAAUCCUUGUAGGAAUCCUACCAGUCCUACAGAUUUUUAAUCCAUUUUAUAAAGCUGUGUCACAAUUGCACUGAAUUCUGUUGAUUUUACAGCUCAUAUACUUAAGGAUUAUUACAGAUUUUUAUUUUUUUUUCCUAGUAUGAAGAAUCAUAAUGAAAAUAAUUCAUGAAACUAUUGAGGGAUCUUCAGAUAAAAGCACCAGCGCCAGAAUUAUUCAACAAGCUCAGCAUCCACAAUCAGAAAUCACAGUGCCAUUUCACUUAGGAUGAUCCCAGGAGGCAGAGCUAGCAGGUAAUUAUUUUUGAUAACUUUUUCUUUCCUGCCUUCAAGCACUUUUGUAUGUACACUGAAUAUAUUUAACACUUCAUUAUUCAGCAAACGUUUACCUCACCUAUAAUUUAGAAAUAAGUGAGAAAUACUGAACAGUUUUUUAUAGGAACUUUUCAAAACACACACGCUGCUGUGUGAUUCUCAACCCCAGCUGGAAAAAAUAAAACUAGAAGAAAACUAGAACA
rnacentral:lncRNA from 1 species